AGGCUAACUCCUACGGGAGGCAGCAGUGGGGAAUAUUGCACAAUGGGCGCAAGCCUGAUGCAGCCAUGCCGCGUGUAUGAAGAAGGCCUUCGGGUUGUAAAGUACUUUCAGCGGGGAGGAAGGCGUGAGUCUGAACAGGGCUCACGAUUGACGUUACCCGCAGAAGAAGCACCGGCUAACUCCGUGCCAGCAGCCGCGGUAAUACGGAGGGUGCAAGCGUUAAUCGGAAUUACUGGGCGUAAAGCGCACGCAGGCGGCCAAUUAAGUUAGAUGUGAAAUCCCCCGGGCUUAACCCGGGAACGGCAUCUAAGACUGGUUGGCUGGAGUCUCGUAGAGGGGGGUAGAAUUCCACGUGUAGCGGUGAAAUGCGUAGAGAUGUGGAGGAAUACCGGUGGCGAAGGCGGCCCCCUGGACGAAGACUGACGCUCAGGUGCGAAAGCGUGGGGAGCAAACAGGAUUAGAUACCCUGGUAGUCCACGCCGUAAACGAUGUCGAUUUGGAGGUUGUGCCCCUGAGGUGUGGCUUCCGGAGCUAACGCGUUAAAUCGACCGCCUGGGGAGUACGGUCGCAAGAUUAAAACUCAAAUGAAUUGACGGGGGCCCGCACAAGCGGUGGAGCAUGUGGUUUAAUUCGAUGCAACGCGAAGAACCUUACCUACUCUUGACAUCCACGGAAUUUGGCAGAGAUGCUGAAGUGCCUUCGGGAACCGUGAGACAGGUGCUGCAUGGCUGUCGUCAGCUCGUGUUGUGAAAUGUUGGGUUAAGUCCCGCAACGAGCGCAACCCUUAUCCUUUGUUGCCAGCACGUGAUGGUGGGAACUCAAGGGAGACUGCCGGUGAUAAACCGGAGGAAGGUGGGGAUGACGUCAAGUCAUCAUGGCCCAGACGAGUAGGGCUACACACGUGCUACAAUGGCGGAUACAAAGAGAAGCGACCUCGCGAGAGCAAGCGGAACUCAUAAAGUCUGUCGUAGUCCGGAUUGGAGUCUGCAACUCGACUCCAUGAAGUCGGAAUCGCUAGUAAUCGUAGAUCAGCAUGCUACGGUGAAUACGUUCCCGGGCCUUGUACACACCGCCCGUCACACCAUGGGAGUGGGUGGCAAAAGAAGUCGGUAGCUUAACCUGCGGGAGGGCGCUGACCACUUUGUGACUCAUGACUGGGGUGAAGUCGUAACAAGGUAACCGUAGGGGAACCUGCGGUUG
rnacentral:rRNA from 1 species